rnacentral:lncRNA from 1 species
CUGGAGAGAGCUGGUGAGCAGGCCCCUCAGCGUUCGUGGGUCUUUGUGAGCUGGGGAGAGCUGGUGAGCAGGCCCCUCCGCGUUCGUGGGUCUUUGUGAGCUGGGGAGAGCUGGUGAGCAGGCCCCUCCGCGUUCGUGGGUCUUUGUGAGCUGGGGAGAGCUGGUGAGCAGGCCCCUCCGCGUUCGUGGGUCUUUGUGAGCUGGGGAGAGCUGGUGAGCAGGCCCCUCAGCGUUCGUGAGUCUUUGUGAGCUGGGGAGAGCUGGUGAGCAGGCCCCUCAGCGUUCGUGGGUCUUUGUGAGCUGGGGAGAGCUGGUGAGCAGGCCCCUCCGCGUUCGUGGGUCUUUGUGAGCUGGGGAGAGCUGGUGAGCAGGCCCCUCAGCGUUCGUGGGUCUUUGUGAGCUGGGGAGAGCUGGUGAGCAGGCCCCCCUUCUGUGAAACAAUCUGGGCCUCAAUGGUGAGUCAAGACUCAGGUCCAGUCGCGGUGGCCGGCCACCCUCCCUCCUCUAGCACACCCUCCUCUUGUCCAUCACACCAGGACGUCCCCUUCUCCUCCCUCUAACUUCCACUGAGAAUGGCCGGCCGUCCACGGGCUCCACGCCCCUAGCCAGGGCUACAGUCCUCACAACCUGGCUUGAGGUCUGAGCUACCGGCUGAGGGUUUCUGCCCUGGGCUCUAGCCUUGGCCUCCUGGCUCCUUUGUUUUCUUUCUUUUCUUUUCUUUUUUUUUUUGAGACAAGGUCUGGUUCCAUCACCCAGGCUGGAGUGCAGUGUCGUGAUCUUGGCUCACUGCAACCUCCGCCUCCCAGGUUCAAGUGAUUCUCCUGCCUCAGCCUCCUGAGUAGCUGGGACUACAGGCGCCCGCCACCACGCCUGGCUAAUUUUUGUAUUUUUUGUAGAGACAGGGUCUUGCCAUGUUGCCCCGUCUGAUCUAGAACUCGUGAGCUCAAGCCAUUUGCCCUCUUUGGCCUCCCAAAGUGCUGGGAUUAUACGCACGAGCCACCGUGCCCGGCUGACUCCUUUUUCUGAAACUCUUGAAAACUUCUUGUCUCUAGACCUGCUCAAAUUCAAAAUCUACUCCCAAACCCCAAGACUGCAAAGAAACAACAGUCAAAUCUCAGCCAUCCCCAGCCACAAGCCCAAGGCUGAUGGACAGACCCCCACCUAGACCCAAACUGCGUCUCUGUCCUGGGGGGACAGACCCAGCCUGGACCCCUCUGUGCUGAGCCCCUCUGGUCCUGGGCACCUCAGCAGUCCCACCAACCUCUCACCACACCAUCUCUGUCGCCACUCAGGUGCUGCAGAGUCUGCAAUGGUGGUUGAUUGACAGCUCCCCCUCUCCUCCAUGGUACAGCCCCCACCAGCAAUGCAGCUGUUUCUGUUCAACAACAGGCCCCGAAUGACCAAUAUGACAACAUGGAGGUCCUAACAGCUGCUAAUCGAACCCCAGGUUUCUCCUGCUUGAACCCAGGGAAGGAUCCCUUGCCUCCUGAGAUGCACUUCAAACGGCCAUGUGCUGCUGAAGGGCCUGGAAACCCAGCCUCGCCUGACCUCACUUCUCCUCACCCUCACCUGGAAUGACCACAGUCCCUGCACCAGGGCAAAGCCAAUCGCUGUCAUUCAGGCUGCUCCUCCCUGACCGACCGUCUCCCCUCAGGACCCCUGGUGCCCUGAACAGCAGGCACAGAGAAGACCCUCCAAGGUCACGGAAGUAGAUACCCUCUCCCAGCCCAUGUCACCGGGUCCUCAAGCUGGAACCCUCACUGUCGACUCAUAACCAGCCCGUGUGGCACUGCUUCCUGAGGCUGCCUCCCCCUGGACAUCCCUGGUGUGAUGGCAGCACGGCCAUCCCCAACGCACAGCAGAGCCUCCAUCUCCAGGGCCUCUGUGCCAUCCUCCUCUGUGUGUGCGCAGCAGCCUCUACUGCUGUUCCCAAAACCCCAGUCCUGUGGCUGCUCUGGCACUCGUGGGUCUCUGUAUGGCAUGGUGCCCAGGUGGGGCCAGCUGUCUGCCCCAGCCCUCCGUGAGGUGGGCGCUGUGGCUCUUGGAGGCUCCUGGCUCCUAGUUCUCUGUCCUCCGAAA